rnacentral:rRNA from 1 species
GACGAACGCUGGCGGCGUGCCUAAUACAUGCAAGUCGAGCGAAUGUCUGGGAGCUUGACUCCCAGACAUUAGCGGCGGACGGGUGAGUAACACGUGGGCAACCUGCCCUGCAGAUGGGGAUAACUCCGGGAAACCGGGGCUAAUACCGAAUAAUCAGUUUGUCCGCAUGGACAAACUCUGAAAGCGGUUUCGGCUGUCACUGCAGGAUGGGCCCG